rnacentral:rRNA from 1 species
AGUGUAUGGACUACCACGGCUUUUACGGGUAACGGAGGAUUAGGGUUCGAUUCCGGAGAGGGAGCGCGAGAAACGGGUACCACAUCUAAGGAAGGCAGCAGGCGCGUAAAUU